GAUGAACGCUAGCGGCAGGCUUAAUACAUGCAAGUCGUGGGGCAGCGUGAAUGUAGCAAUACAUUUGAUGGCGACCGGCAAACGGGUGCGGAACACGUACACAACCUUCCUAUGAGUGGGGAAUAGCCCAGAGAAAUUUGGAUUAAUACCCCGUAACAUAACGAUGUGGCAUCACAUUGUUAUUAUAGCUUCGGCGCUUAUUGAUGGGUGUGCGGCUGAUUAGAUAGUUGGCGGGGUAACGGCCCACCAAGUCUACGAUCAGUAGCUGAUGUGAGAGCAGGAUCAGCCACACGGGCACUGAGACACGGGCCCGACUCCUACGGGAGGCAGCAGUAAGGAAUAUUGGUCAAUGGACGCAAGUCUGAACCAGCCAUGCCGCGUGAAGGAUUAAGGUCCUCUGGAUUGUAAACUUCUUUUAUCUGGGACGAAAAAAGGCUUUUCUAAGUCACUUGACGGUACCAGAUGAAUAAGCACCGGCUAACUCCGUGCCAGCAGCCGCUGUAAUAC
rnacentral:rRNA from 1 species